GAAGGUAUAGCUCAGUGGUAGAGUGCCUGCUUAGCAAGCACAAGGUCCUGGGUUUAAUCCCUAGUACCUCCA
rnacentral:tRNA from 1 species